AUGGAUGUGGACACCUCAAGUACGUCUCGUGGAAGAGGCAAGAAUAAAAGGAAGUGGACUUCGGAUGAGGAUGAUGAACUUAUUAAAGCCUUGUAUGAGUUGUCUUUGGACCCAAGGUGGAAGGCAGAUGGUAGCUUCAAAAAUGGAUACCUGGUGGUAUUGGAGAAGCACCUUGCUGAAAAGUGCCCGGGUUGUGGUAUCUCUGCAAUUCCACACAUCGAGUCAAGAGUGAGGCACUUUAGGACAAAAUUUGGUGCUCUUGAAGUAAUGUUAUCCAAAAGUGGUUUCACAUGGGAUGGAAACUGGAAGAUGAUUCAAUGUGAGAAGGCACAGUAUGAAGCACAUUGUAAGAUUCAUAGUGAGGCAAAGGGAUUGUAUGGUGUCCUAUUUCCGUACUUUGAGCAGUUGGCUGCUAUUUAUGGCAAGGACAUAGCAACUGGAGAAAAUGCCGAAGGCUUUGGUGAGGCAGUGGGAAACUUGGAAAAUGAAAUUGCUAUAGAAGAAGAGGAACACGAGGAAGAGGACUUGAUCUCAACAGGGACAGCUAGACGGUCUGUCGAUACUCGCUCUAUGGAUGGAACUAGUUCCAAGAGGCAGAGGAAGGAACCAAGGCCAAAGAGGGUGACGGGACCAAGUGAUCCCUUUGCAGUGAUGCUUCAAGAUGUCAAUAGCCGGCUCAACAAUGUGACACAAUAUGUGGGUACAAUGGCAGCAUCAUUGUCAGCAUCAAUGGCACGAGAAGCAGCGUAA
rnacentral:rRNA from 1 species